rnacentral:rRNA from 1 species
UACGUAGGGUGCGAGCGUUAAUCGGAAUUACUGGGCGUAAAGCGUGCGUAGGCGGUUUUGUAAGACAGGUGUGAAAUCCCCGGGCUUAACCUGGGAACUGCACUUGUGACUGCAAGGCUAGAGUGUGUCAGAGGGGGGUGGAAUUCCACGUGUAGCAGUGAAAUGCGUAGAGAUGUGGAGGAACACCGAUGGCGAAGGCAGCCCCCUGGGAUAACACUGACGCUCAGGCACGAAAGCGUGGGGAGCAAACAGG